UACGGGGGGGGCUAGCGUUGUUCGGAUUUACUGGGCGUAAAGGGAGCGUAGGCGGCUUGUCAAGUCCGGUGUGAAAUCUUUACCGCUUACCGGAAAGAGGUCAUCGGAAACUGGCAGGCUAGAGCAGGGUAGAGGCAAGCGGAAUUCCUGGUGUAGCGGUGGAAUGUGUAGAUAUCAGGAAGAACAUCUGUGGCGAAGGCGGCUUGCUGGGCUCUUGCUGACGCUGAGGCUCGAAAGCGUGGGGAGCAAACGGG
rnacentral:rRNA from 1 species